rnacentral:rRNA from 1 species
AUUGAACGCUGGCGGCAGGCCUAACACAUGCAAGUCGAGCGGAUGAAGGGAGCUUGCUCCUGGAUUCAGCGGCGGACGGGUGAGUAAUGCCUAGGAAUCUGCCUGGUAGUGGGGGAUAACGUCCGGCAACGGGCGCUAAUACCGCAUACGUCCUGAGGGAGACCGUGGGGGAUCUUCGGACCUCACGCUAUCAGCUGAGCCUAGGUCGGAUUAGCUAGUUGGUGGGGUAACGGCCUACCAAGGCGACGAUCCGUAACUGGUCUGAGAGGAUGAUCAGUCACACUGGAACUGAGACACGGUCCAGACUCCUACGGGAGGCAGCAGUGGGGAAUAUUGGACAAUGGGCGAAAGCCUGAUCCAGCCAUGCCGCGUGUGUGAAGAAGGUCUUCGGAUUGUAAAGCACUUUAAGUUGGGAGGAAGGGCAGUAAGUUAAUACCUUGCUGUUUUGACGUUACCAACAGAAUAAGCACCGGCUAACUUCGUG